rnacentral:misc_RNA from 1 species
CUACAUUCGGAGUGAAUAAGUGACCAAUAGACACGUUUUGUCGUGGUCAAUUUCCUUGUCAGUGUGGUAAAUUUCAUUGUCAGAUGUAUGGUUCAUCCUUGAUUAUACCAUAGUAUAUAUUAUUUACUUGUAUCUUCCAUGAUGCGCGGAAACAUGUCAAAAAUCAAGAACAAUCAACUGAUGAUACAUCAGCCGCAAUAACAAACAAAAAAACUACCGAAAAGUUGCAUCGAAAAAUCAUAUGACAAGACAUAUUCAGCAAAUGCCAUCGUUACUAUGCUCAGCAUAGAGAUAUAAAAUAGACUUCGUUGCAAUUUCAAUAUAAUAAUUAUUAGUGAAAUGAAGUUUGAAGAAAACGCGUCAACACCUACUAAUUUCGCGUUAACACACGGUGCGCCUCUUACUGGUGCUGGAUUAAUUUUCACCAAUAUUUUUGUAGGUAUACUGUCAGUUCUAACCAUAGGAGGAAAUGCUUUAACAAUUACUGUAUUCGCAAGGAAUUCACCUCUUCGCAACAACCCACAGAGCAACCGGCAUAUCAUGAGCCUAGCAGUGGCUGAUCUGGGCGUUGGACUAAUCCCACUACCACUAAUGAUUAUCAUUAACACUUUAGAUAUUUGGCCGUUCGGACUUGUUCUCUGCAUGCUUAAGUCGAUAGUAGAGGGAGUUUUUCUAAUCGUUACCAUAUUUACCAUUGCAUUCAUUAGUCUCGAUCGUUACUUGCUCGUCCAUAGAGAAUACCCAGAUUAUCUGAAAUGUCAGACAAAACGACGCGUGCAUCUGCAGAUCCUGUUUACCUGGGCGUGUGCAGUUGUCGUAAUGACAACAAAUGAGAUUCUGUUUUUUUACCAAGUUGGUCUGGACUCGACGGUCGACUUAUUUUGUAACUUCCACACCAAUCCGAAUACUUUUUCCACUCUAUUGCUUCUAUUAUUUUUACUUUUCAUUCCAAUGUCAGCAAUUGCAUAUUUUAACGCUAGUACAUUUUUUAACAUUCGAAAGCGUAUACUCAAGAGACGGAGAAUAGCUGUCGCUCAGACAACAUCUAUCGCAAGAAUCCCUAGUUUAUCUGCAAAUCACGAUGAAACAGAAACAAGCAUGAACCUAACAGAUAGGGCGAACCAUGGAAAUUAUCAGGAAGGUGCGAAUUGCUCCAACUUUUUUGGCGAAACUAACCAAGAAAACCCUCAAGGACCUCAUAACACGUCAGAAAAUGCUCGCAAAGAUCAAACUGCAAAUCCAACAGAUGAAAAUUACAAAUUAGCCUGGCAAAGUGACCAAAAAUCUCAAAAUGUUGAAAACAAACACGUACCAAUUAAACAUUCCGACACAAAACCUCAAUUUAACAAUACCCCAAAAAAGCGAAAGUCAAACGAUGACAAUUUCAAGCGAAGGUAUGUUCGUCCUGCUGUAAUGAUGGGUGUAAUAUUAUCGACGUUUUUGAUUUGCUGGGCUCCUCUUGGUUUAACUGGUGUUAUUAAGAAUUUUAAGACGGUUUUCGAAGACGACAGACAUUGGAAAUGGAUACACCUUUGCAUGUAUAUGGACUCGGUGUUUAACCCCAUACUCUAUGCCAUUACCAAUAAAAAGGUCCGGAUAGCUAUGAUAAAAUGCUUACGAAGGAAAUGAAUGAAAGAGAAACAGUUUUAAGCAGUAUUUUAAAGGAUAACAUUCCGUCCUAAUCAUGACGAAGUGACUGAAAUACCGAACAAUAUGGAACAACUUUAUGAUUGUUAUUGUUGGAGUCGCUGUGGUUUAUUUUAAGAGCACAAUACAGAGUUAUAGCAUAUUUCCAAUGUUUACAUUGCAAAGUAACAAUCGGUAAUUGUUUGUGUUAAACCAUGUAGGUGGUUUUGGAAAAACAUUGUUGAGACACUUUCAACAACAACAGCUCUUUUCAUAACGGCCAACAAGGUGUACCGUAAACAUUUAGUGUGAUGGUAAUUUUGUAUUUAUGGCUGUAAACUGUAUUGAUGUUGGGAAGGCUGCUGCUACUACUACUACUACUUAAACCAGCCAGUCAUUUUAAAGAUGCAAUCUGUUAUAGCGCAUAAACGGAGUCGAGUCUCAAUGCGCUGUUAGAUAAAAAGUUUUAAAAAAAAAUUAAAAAAAAGAUGUGUUUUUAGACGGUAGUUGAACAUGUUGCGAGAAGGGGAAUUGCGAACUUCAAGAGGCAGGGAAUUCCAUAGUAAUGUCGCAGCAACAGAAAAUGCGUCAACGUAAGAUUUCAAUCGACUAGAUGAAGAUGGUUCAUACUCUAGGGAGGGGAGACGGGGAACAACUUAACGUCAGCAUUUUAUUUGUCACCGAAAUUAUCACUUAGUUAGAAGUGGCUGCUUAUCAGUAGGCCGAGAAGGUAUACCGGUAGUGUUUCCAAAUUCAGAUUUCCAUCAUCCUUGUUCAUAAGUUUCAUAUUAGGCCUGUCUUAUCCAUGAUUUGAUCAUCAUUAUCAGUAGUAUAAAUAUAAUCUUUGUCAUUUCAAUUAAUUGCUCACACGUUUGUGCACCAGGAAAUAUAAUAAGGUGCUUUGGUAUAGGCCUAUAUAUUUAUUUAUUUAGCAGUGUUAUAUUACGGAUAAAGUACGUGAGCAGUGAUUUGAAGCUACAUAAAUAUUAGAUUAAUGGUCAUAGUGGUAGUGGCAAAAUUGUUAUGGUGGUGGUGGUAUAAUAUAUUAAUAGGCUACAUGGCAGCCUUAGAAUAUUAUAUAGAUCUAGGCUUACUAAAAAUUAUGCAAAGUAUAUUCUUGCCAAAAUUUAUUGCUAGACCAUGCUCAGAUCAGUUAGUUUAAAAUAUUAGCCUGCUCGAAAGAGUAUAUAAUUGUAUAUAUCCGAUCAGUAUAGAUAGCUUCCUUCGUGGACAUAAAAUCGAUUUAGAAUAUAUGAAGAAGACACUAUGAAGACAAUUACUCGGGGU